rnacentral:rRNA from 1 species
ACUGCAGUCGAGCGGAGAGAGGUAGCUUGCUACUGAUCUUAGCGGCGGACGGGUGAGUAAUGCUUAGGAAUCUGCCUAUUAGUGGGGGACAACAUUUCGAAAGGAAUGCUAAUACCGCAUACGUCCUACGGGAGAAAGCAGGGGAUCUUCGGACCUUGCGCUAAUAGAUGAGCCUAAGUCGGAUUAGCUAGUUGGUGGGGUAAAGGCCUACCAAGGCGACGAUCUGUAGCGGGUCUGAGAGGAUGAUCCGCCACACUGGGACUGAGACACGGCCCAGACUCCUACGGGAGGCAGCAGUGGGGAAUAUUGGACAAUGGGCGCAAGCCUGAUCCAGCCAUGCCGCGUGUGUGAAGAAGGCCUUAUGGUUGUAAAGCACUUUAAGCGAGGAGGAGGCUACUUUAGUUAAUACCUAGAGAUAGUGGACGUUACUCGCAGAAUAAGCACCGGCUAACUCUGUGCCAGCAGCCGCGGUAAUACAGAGGGUGCAAGCGUUAAUCGGAUUUACUGGGCGUAAAGCGCGCGUAGGCGGCUAAUUAAGUCAAAUGUGAAAUCCCCGAGCUUAACUUGGGAAUUGCAUUCGAUACUGGUUAGCUAGAGUGUGGGAGAGGAUGGUAGAAUUCCAGGUGUAGCGGUGAAAUGCGUAGAGAUCUGGAGGAAUACCGAUGGCGAAGGCAGCCAUCUGGCCUAACACUGACGCUGAGGUGCGAAAGCAUGGGGAGCAAACAGGAUUAGAUACCCUGGUAGUCCAUGCCGUAAACGAUGUCUACUAGCCGUUGGGGCCUUUGAGGCUUUAGUGGCGCAGCUAACGCGAUAAGUAGACCGCCUGGGGAGUACGGUCGCAAGACUAAAACUCAAAUGAAUUGACGGGGGCCCGCACAAGCGGUGGAGCAUGUGGUUUAAUUCGAUGCAACGCGAAGAACCUUACCUGGCUUGACAUAGUAAGAACUUUCCAGAGAUGGAUUGGGCCUUCGGGAACUUACAUACGGGC